AGACACUCAGCCUGAGGAGGGGGUGGAGCUGGACCAUCGGCAGAACACACAGGAUGAAGACCCCCAGGGAUUGACAUAUGCCCAGGAGACUGCUGCAUCUGGCGCCCCCCAGGAUGUGACCUACGCCCAGCUGAACCGCUUGACCCUCCGACGAGAGACAAGUGCAUCCCC